AGUCAUUCUGCCCAUUGUAUUUAAAAGGCUGCAGUAUAUUAACUGUACAAAGGUAGCAAAAUAAAUAGUUUUUUAAUUGGAAACUUGAAUGAAAGAGUUGAUAAAAUAUAAAUUGUUUCAAAAAUUAAAUUUAAAUAGAAAGUAAAAAUGCUUUUAUUUACUUAUUAGACGAUAAGACCCUAAGAAUUUAAUAAUUUAAAUUAUUGAAAAAAAUUAUUUAUUUUUAAAUUAUUUUAUUGGGAGGAUAAUUGAAUAACUUUAAUUUUUAAAAAUAUAAAUAAAUAAAUUUAAUGAUUAAUUUUUUAAUUAAAAGAAUUAAUUACCUUAGGGAUAACAGCGUAAUAAUUUUGGAGAGUUCAUAUUAAUAAAAUUGUUUGCGACCUCGAUGUUGAAUUAAAAUAAAAAUUAAAUGUAGAUAUUUAAAUUUUUAGUCUGUUCGACUAUUAAAAUUUUAC
rnacentral:rRNA from 1 species